UGCCAGCAGCCGCGGUAAUACGGAGGGUGCGAGCGUUAAUCGGAAUUACUGGGCGUAAAGCGCGCGCAGGCGGCUAGAUAAGUCGGAUGUGAAAGCCCCGAGCUUAACUUGGGAACUGCAUUCGAUACUGUCUAGCUAGAGUAUGGUAGAGGGAAGCGGAAUUCCGGGUGUAGCGGUGAAAUGCGUAGAUAUCCGGAGGAACACCAGUGGCGAAGGCGGCUUCCUGGACCAAUACUGACGCUCAGGCGCGAAAGCGUGGGGAGCAAACAGGAUUAGAUA
rnacentral:rRNA from 1 species